rnacentral:tmRNA from 1 species
AUGCAAGGCAUAGACAGUUGGCCUAUUGUUAUUGAUGCAUACCGAGCAUGAACGUAAUCUCGUAAAAAUUCGUUCAAAUGUUAAUUGCAAAAUUAACUUCUAAAGCUAAAGCAAUUGCUUCAACAUACUUCGGUAUGGGGGACUUUGCCUUCGCUUCAGUUUCCGCUUCGGCGUAAACUGAUGUCUCACUUAUAGACUUCCGAUAUAUAAGCUGAGGCACAAUAUUAUCGGGAUAGGGGAAAGAAUGUCCUGACUUCCUUCCGAAACAAAAGGACUCGAUUAAAAAAUAUUUGGCUCGCUUAAGAAUUUUUUAAUCUAAACAAAAAAAGCGCGCUAUGUAUGUAGACUUCUUUACAAAAACCUUCUGCACACGGGUUCAAUUCCCGUCAUCUCCACAA